rnacentral:rRNA from 1 species
UACAGAGGUCUCAAGCGUUGUUCGGAUUCAUUGGGCGUAAAGGGUGCGUAGGCGGCGCGGGAAGUCGGGUGUGAAAUCUCGGAGCUUAACUCCGAAACUGCAUUCGAUACUGCCGUGCUUGAGGACUGGAGAGGAGACUGGAAUUUACGGUGUAGCGGUGAAAUGCGUAGAUAUCUGGAGGAACACCGGUGGCGAAGGCGGCAUCCUGGACCAACACUGACGCUGAGGAGCGAAAGCCAGGGGAGCAAACGGG